rnacentral:antisense_RNA from 1 species
GGGUGCUCUUGGCUAUUUGUCAGGAGCAUGAGCAAAUGAUAACUGACAGAUAGACGAAAGCCCCGAUAGUUAAUUUCUUAACCAACGAGGCUUAGCGUAUGUAUCUCGACAAUUCAUAUGUUAGUGCCUCUCACUAUAGGAGGCAAGUAAAAAUGCCAAAAAG